rnacentral:rRNA from 1 species
GGUUAAGUGACUAAGCGUACACGGUGGAUGCCUAGGCAGUCAGAGGCGAUGAAGGGCGUGCUAAUCUGCGAAAAGCGUCGGUAAGGUGAUAUGAACCGUUAUAACCGGCGAUACCCGAAUGGGGAAACCCAGUGUGUUUCGACACACUAUCAUGUCAUGAAUACAUAGUGGCAUGAGGCGAACCGGGGGAACUGAAACAUCUAAGUACCCCGAGGAAAAGAAAUCAACCGAGAUUCCCCCAGUAGCGGCGAGCGAACGGGGAGGAGCCCAGAACCUGAAUCGGCUUGUGUGUUAGUGGAAGCGUCUGGAAAGUCGCGCAGCAAAGGGUGAUAGCCCCGUACACUAAAAUGCACAGGUCGUGAGUUCGAUGAGUAGGGCGGGACACGUGACAUCCUGUCUGAAUAUGGGGGGACCAUCCUCCAAGGCUAAAUACUCCUGACUGACCGAUAGUGAACCAGUACCGUGAGGGAAAGGCGAAAAGAACCCCGGCGAGGGGAGUGAAAUAGAACCUGAAACCGUGUACGUACAAGCAGUGGGAGCACCUUCGUGGUGUGACUGCGUACCUUUUGUAUAAUGGGUCAGCGACUUAUAUUUUGUAGCAAGGUUAACCGUAUAGGGGAGCCGUAGGGAAACCGAGUCUUAACUGGGCGAAUAGUUGCAAGGUAUAGACCCGAAACCCGGUGAUCUAGCCAUGGGCAGGUUGAAGGUUGGGUAACACUAACUGGAGGACCGAACCGACUAAUGUUGAAAAAUUAGCGGAUGACUUGUGGCUGGGGGUGAAAGGCCAAUCAAACCGGGAGAUAGCUGGUUCUCCCCGAAAGCUAUUUAGGUAGCGCCUCGUGAACUCAUCUUCGGGGGUAGAGCACUGUUUCGGCUAGGGGGCCAUCCCGGCUUACCAAACCGAUGCAAACUCCGAAUACCGAAGAAUGUUAUCACGGGAGACACACGGCGGGUGCUAACGUCCGUCGUGAAGAGGGAAACAACCCAGACCGCCAGCUAAGGUCCCAAAGUCAUGGUUAAGU